rnacentral:rRNA from 1 species
AUGCUGGAGGUAUCAGAAGUGCGAAUGCUGACAUAAGUAACGAUAAAGCGGGUGAAAAGCCCGCUCGCCGGAAGACCAAGGGUUCCUGUCCAACGUUAAUCGGGGCAGGGUGAGUCGACCCCUAAGGCGAGGCCGAAAGGCGUAGUCGAUGGGAAACAGGUUAAUAUUCCUGUACUUGGUGUUACUGCGAAGGGGGGACGGAGAAGGCUAUGUUGGCCGGGCGACGGUUGUCCCGGUUUAAGCGUGUAGGCUGGUUUUCCAGGCAAAUCCGGAAAAUCAAGGCUGAGGCGUGAUGACGAGGCACUACGGUGCUGAAGCAACAAAUGCCCUGCUUCCAGGAAAAGCCUCUAAGCAUCAGGUAACAUCAAAUCGUACCCCAAACCGACACAGGUGGUCAGGUAGAGAAUACCAAGGCGCUUGAGAGAACUCGGGUGAAGGAACUAGGCAAAAUGGUGCCGUAACUUCGGGAGAAGGCACGCUGAUAUGUAGGUGAAGUCCCUCGCGGAUGGAGCUGAAAUCAGUCGAAGAUACCAGCUGGCUGCAACUGUUUAUUAAAAACACAGCACUGUGCAAACACGAAAGUGGACGUAUACGGUGUGACGCCUGCCCGGUGCCGGAAGGUUAAUUGAUGGGGUCAGCGCAAGCGAAGCUCUUGAUCGAAGCCCCGGUAAACGGCGGCCGUAACUAUAACGGUCCUAAGGUAGCGAAAUUCCUUGUCGGGUAAGUUCCGACCUGCACGAAUGGCGUAAUGAUGGCCAGGCUGUCUCCACCCGAGACUCAGUGAAAUUGAACUCGCUGUGAAGAUGCAGUGUACCCGCGGCAAGACGGAAAGACCCCGUGAACCUUUACUAUAGCUUGACACUGAACAUUGAGCCUUGAUGUGUAGGAUAGGUGGGAGGCUUUGAAGUGUGGACGCCAGUCUGCAUGGAGCCGACCUUGAAAUACCACCCUUUAAUGUUUGAUGUUCUAACGUUGACCCGUAAUCCGGGUUGCGGACAGUGUCUGGUGGGUAGUUUGACUGGGGCGGUCUCCUCCUAAAGAGUAACGGAGGAGCACGAAGGUUGGCUAAUCCUGGUCGGACAUCAGGAGGUUAGUGCAAUGGCAUAAGCCAGCUUGACUGCGAGCGUGACGGCGCGAGCAGGUGCGAAAGCAGGUCAUAGUGAUCCGGUGGUUCUGAAUGGAAGGGCCAUCGCUCAACGGAUAAAAGGUACUCCGGGGAUAACAGGCUGAUACCGCCCAAGAGUUCAUAUCGACGGCGGUGUUUGGCACCUCGAUGUCGGCUCAUCACAUCCUGGGGCUGAAGUAGGUCCCAAGGGUAUGGCUGUUCGCCAUUUAAAGUGGUACGCGAGCUGGGUUUAGAACGUCGUGAGACAGUUCGGUCCCUAUCUGCCGUGGGCGCUGGAGAAUUGAGGGGGGCUGCUCCUAGUACGAGAGGACCGGAGUGGACGCAUCACUGGUGUUCGGGUUGUCAUGCCAAUGGCACUGCCCGGUAGCUAAAUGCGGAAGAGAUAAGUGCUGAAAGCAUCUAAGCACGAAACUUGCCCCGAGAUGAGUUCUCCCUGACUCCUUGAGAGUCCUGAAGGAACGUUGAAGACGACGACGUUGAUAGGCCGGGUGUGUAAGCGCAGCGAUGCGUUGAGCUAACCGGUACUAAUGAACCGUGAGGCUUAACCUU